rnacentral:rRNA from 1 species
GACGAACGCUGGCGGCGUGCUUAACACAUGCAAGUCGAACGGAAAGGCCUCUUUCGGGGGAUACUCGAGUGGCGAACGGGUGAGUAACACGUGAGUAACCUGCCCUUGACUUUGGGAUAACUUCAGGAAACUGGGGCUAAUACCGGAUAGGAGCUCCUGCUGCAUGGUGGGGGUUGGAAAGUUUCGGCGGUUGGGGAUGGACUCGCGGCUUAUCAGCUUGUUGGUGGGGUAGUGGCUUACCAAGGCUUUGACGGGUAGCCGGCCUGAGAGGGUGACCGGCCACAUUGGGACUGAGAUACGGCCCAGACUCCUACGGGAGGCAGCAGUGGGGAAUAUUGCACAAUGGGUGGAAGCCUGAUGCAGCAACGCCGUGUGCGGGAUGACGGCCUUCGGGUUGUAAACCGCUUUCGCUCAUGACGAAGCUUUGUGUGACGGUAGUGGGUAAAGAAGCACCGGCUAACUACGUG